rnacentral:rRNA from 1 species
AUUGAACGCUGGCGGCAGGCCUAACACAUGCAAGUCGAACGAGUGGCGGACGGGUGAGUAACACGUGGGUAACCUCCCCACAGCGGGGGAUAACACUUGGAAACAGGUGCUAAUACCGCAUACUGAUGGAUGGAACCGCGGUGCAUUAGCUAGUUGGUGAGGUAACGGCUCACCAAGGCCACGAUGCAUAGCCGACCUGGGAGGGUGAUCGGCGACACUGGGACGGAGACACGGCCCAGAUGCCUACGGGAGGCAGCAGUGGGGAAUAUUGCACAAUGGGCGCAAGCCUGAUGCAGCCAUGCCGCGGGUAUGAAGACGGCCUUCGGGUUGUAAAGUACUUUCAGCGGGGAGGCGUUACCCGCAGAAGAAGCACCGGCUAACUCCGUGCCAGCAGCCGCGGUAAUUC